rnacentral:rRNA from 1 species
AGCGAACGCUGGCGGCAGGCCUAACACAUGCAAGUCGAACGGGCACCUUCGGGUGUCAGUGGCAGACGGGUGAGUAACACGUGGGAACGUGCCCUUUGGUUCGGGACAACUCCGGGAAACUGGAGCUAAUACCGGAUACGCCCUUUUGGGGAAAGAUUUAUCGCCGAAGGAUCGGCCCGCGUCUGAUUAGCUAGUUGGUGAGGUAACGGCUCACCAAGGCGACGAUCAGUAGCUGGUCUGAGAGGAUGAUCAGCCACACUGGGACUGAGACACGGCCCAGACUCUUACGGGAGGCAGCAGUGGGGAAUAUUGGACAAUGGGCGCAAGCCUGAUCCAGCCAUGCCGCGUGAGUGAUGAAGGCCCUAGGGUUGUAAAGCUCUUUUGUCCGGGAAGAUAAUGACUGUACCGGAAGAAUAAGCCCCGGCUAACUUCGUGCCAGCCGCCGCGGUAAAAC